ensembl:lincRNA Gm27194 predicted gene 27194
ACUUGGCUUCAACACAACUAGACUGACGAAGGCUGCUCACCACGGAUGAAGACGAGGUAAGGCCGGCACCUCAGAAGUGAGGUCACGCAGACCUACUUGCACAUGCCAUGGGAGGAAGGAAGGUCCACACUGGUCCAGUGUGAGCUGCCUGACUCCAUCCUAGCCAGUCCCUUGUACUGCUGCUGCUGCAGGAGGUGGGGGAGCCGGCACUGCUAGAAAGUCCUGUACGUGAGGAACUCUUUCAUCUUCUUGGGGAUUGGCAGUGCUAGGAUUUGAUACGUUGUCAGGAAACUUCGGAGGGCUUUCCCGAAUAAGUGCUUCAGUGAGGACAGGACCCGGGGAGCUGUCCAGAACUGGACAUGGCCAUCUCUCGUCCCUGUGGCAAUAAUUCCACCGUGUGGGAAGAAUGUGCAGCAAAGAUCAUUGGUCAUCGGAGCAAAGACAACCGGAGCCGUCAGUUCCAGAGCCCAGAUCCUGAGCAGCCCGUCAUCUGCCACUGUAGCAAGAUACAAGCCUUCGGGUGAGAAGCACACGGACCUCAGGGAGCUCAUGUGGAUGUCACUGUCAUCCAUGGCGGGUUCAAGCUGCGUGUGAUGAAGUGACCUCAACCUUUCUUCGGUGUAGGGGUCCCACAUAAUCACACUGGUGUCAUACGACGCUGUAACAAGCAAGGCGGAAUCAGGAGAGAAAUCACAGGAGACAACACUGCUUUAGUGGCCUUCUAGUUUCUGGAUUAGUGUGUAGGACCGCAUGCUCCACAGAAAGACCGACUUCUCCCCAGCUGCAGAGCACAGCAUGCUACAGUCAGGGGAGAUGGAGCAGCAGUAAACCCACUGCAGAUGGCCGGAUAACACCCGGAUCUGCUUACCGUGCUUAUUCAGGUCCCAAAUGCGAAGCGUCUUAUCCCGGGAUGCAGAGACCAAAAUCAAACUGCCGCUGGGCGCGAAGCUCAGAUCUCUCACGCCGUCUUGGUGGCAUCUUUUUGAUUCAGAAGCAGGAGCCCUGUCUGUACCUCCCAAAUUUUGAUCUGCCCAUCGUUGAGACCUGUGGCCAGGAUCAGGCAAGAGACAUCAGGCGCCUGGAGAUGGUGAUGUGCCCAGGGUUUCCUGCUGGGUGGAGAGGGCCACGGGCUGAAGGCCAGCCCCCACACAAUCAGGCCACACUCCAGCGUCUUCUCCUUCAGACUGCCCCGUCCUUUUGGGUCAUUCUUGCUGCUUCGGCUCUUGACUUCGAAUCCUUUAGGGACGAACUGUUCCUCUAAGGGCCAGGGGACCAGCUUGACCACGCAGUGUCCUUGAGACCAGGCGAACCAGGAACUGUCUGGCGAGAAGGCCACGCUCCAGGUCUAGCAGCUUGACUUCCAGUCGAACUGGUGGGGGCGCCCAGGCUUGAGUUCAGCCAGGAGCAGCGGCUCCUCUCCGGCCUCCAUGAGGACGCGCGGCCCUCCCCAGGCGGCGGGCGCCUCAGCCCCCAGGGCCGUGGGCCUUCAUUCCGCCACUUUUCGUUUUUUAAACACAGUGUCUCUCUGUGUAGGUCUGGCUGUCCCAGUCCUUCUAAAACAUUUGCACCACUUGAGGACGAGGCAUUCAAAUGUACAAGUCUAUUGGGCAUCCUCACGCACACCACCAAGAUGGUAUGAAGGCCUAGCUCCCUGGGACUGUGAGCCCCAGGCACACCCCCUUCUUCUUCCUUAGGUCACAGUGCUUUAUCACAGCAACAGAAAAGUAACCAACAUGCAUGCACAGAUACUUUAAAAAUUACUUAUUUUUAUAUUUUGACCGUUUGUAUGUAUAGGUAGCACAUGUGUGCAACACGCAAGGAGGCGUUGGAUCCCCUGAAAUGGAUUUAUAAAGGUUGUGAGCUGACGUGUGUAUACUGGGAAUAAAACCCAAGUCUUCAGAAGGGGAAGUAAAUGCCCCCCCUCACUAAUACUUAUAGCCUUUCUUCUGAAUGUGUUUUCAUGUAAAUCUAGUUACUUGUGUGAGUACAUCUGAUAAUAAAAAAUAAAUCUUAUAUUUACAUUUAUUAUAACAAGAAGUUACUUAUAAACAUUGGGGGAAACUUGAAAUUAACAUGUCUGUAUACUAAAAGUUACCUCUGGUGUUCCAAAUUAUCCUUUUAAUUGGACAUUUCUAGUUCUGACUUCUUUUCUGCCCUACAGAAUACUUCAACAAAGGUCUCUUUAUUUGUAUUCUUAAGCUUGAUGAUGCUUUAUUUCUGUGGAUCAGGCUCCCAAGUGAGAAUGGGUGAUUAAAUAGUUUGUAAUUGCUGGUUUGUUAGUGGAAGCAUACGCUACACAGCCUUUAAGUAAGAGCACGCGGCUUCCCUAAAGCCUACCCUCAAAGGAAGGUUAACUUUUGCCAACUCCGUGAAGCAGACCCAUUUGGUUCAUUAGCUUUUAUUUGCACUUCCUCCUGGGCGCUGACUAGGUUACAAUCUUCUUAGAAGCCACAGGCAUUUGCAGUUCCACUUAGAAGGCAUUCAUUCUAGAUGUGUUAAAGGCUUUCUCCAGUGUGGGUUCUUUGAUGUGGAAUAAGGGUGUCUAAUGCUAACGCUAACACUAACACAUCCGCGCACAACACUAACACUAACACACCCGCGCACGCCCUUGCCUUCACUCCAGUAGAAGUUUUCUGACUCGCCUCGAGAUUUGCCACUUUGCUGAAUACCCUCCCAUAGUCAGUACAUUUAUAUGGCUUCUCCCCAGUAUGAACCCUCCGAUGUACAGUUAAAUGUGAUUUUAUUCUGAAGGAUUCCCUACAUUCAGAACACAGGUAGGGGGUUUUCUUCCUAGAAAUGAAUAUGCUGAUGUAUUAAUGAGGGAUGAGAACACACGAACAGCCUCUCCACAGUCACAGCAUUCACAGGGUCUCUCUUCUGUAUGGAUUCUUUGAAGAACAUUAAAAAUUGUGGUAUCCUUGGAAGAUUUUCCACAC